CCUACGGGUGGCAGCAGUGGGGAAUAUUGCACAAUGGAGGGAACCCUGAUGCAGCGACGCCGCGUGAGUGAAGAAGGAUUUCGGUACGUAAAGCUCUAUUAGCAGGGAAGAAAAGAACGGCACCUGACUAAAAAGCCGCCGCUAACUACGUGCCAGCAGCCGCGGUAAUACGUAGGGGGCAAGCGUUAUCCGGAUUUACUGGGGGUAAACGGAGCGUAGACGGCAAUGCAAGUCCGGAGUGAAAGCCCAAGGCUUAACCAUGGGACUGCUCUGGAAACUGUGGAGCUUGAGUGCGGGAGGGGCAGGCGGAAUGCCUAGUGUAGCGGUGGAAUGCGUAGAUAUUAGGAGGAACACCGGAGGCGAAGGCGGCCUGCUGGACCGUAACUGACGUUGAGGCUCGAAAGCGUGGGGAGCAAACAGGAUUAGAUACCCCUGUAGUC
rnacentral:rRNA from 1 species